CCGACGGUGAGAGACGAAAGCUGGGGGAGCAAACCGGAUUAGAUACCCGGGUAGUCCCAGCCGUAAACGAUGUGCGUUAGGUGUAUCGGUGACCACGGGUCGCCGAGGUGCCGAAGAGAAAUCGUGAAACGUACCGCCUGGGAAGUACGGUCGCAAGGCUGAAACUUAAAGGAAUUGGCGGGGGAGCACCACAACAGGUGGAGCCUGCGGUUUAAUCGGACUCAACGCCGGGAAACUCACCAGAUAAGACAGCUGAAUGAUAGUCGGGCUGAAGACUCUACUUGACUAGCUGAGAGGAGGUGCAUGGCCGUCGUCAGUUCGUACUGUGAAGCAUCCUGUUAAGUC
rnacentral:rRNA from 1 species